GGGGCUGUAGCUCAGUGGUUAGAGCACCUGCUUCGCAUGCAGGUCCCAGGUUCAAUCCCUGGUAUCUCCC